CUUGCACCGAGCGGAUGAGUUGCGAACGGGUGAGUAACGCGUAGGUAACCUGCCUCUUAGCGGGGGAUAACUAUUGGAAACGAUAGCUAAUACCGCAUAAAAGUCGACAUUGCAUGAUGUUGACUUGAAAGGUGCAAUUGCAUCACUAAGAGAUGGACCUGCGUUGUAUUAGCUAGUUGGUGAGGUAACGGCUCACCAAGGCGACGAUACAUAGCCGACCUGAGAGGGUGAUCGGCCACACUGGGACUGAGACACGGCCCAGACUCCUACGGGAGGCAGCAGUAGGGAAUCUUCGGCAAUGGGGGCAACCCUGACCGAGCAACGCCGCGUGAGUGAAGAAGGUUUUCGGAUCGUAAAGCUCUGUUGUAAGAGAAGAACGAGUGUGAGAGUGGAAAGUUCACACUGUGACGGUAACUUACCAGAAAGGGACGGCUAACUAUGUGCCAGCAGCCGCGGUAAUACGUAGGUCCCGAGCGUUAUCCGGAUUUAUUGGGCGUAAAGCGAGCGCAGGCGGUUAGAUAAGUCUGAAGUUAAAGGCUGUGGCUUAACCAUAGUACGCUUUGGAAACUGUUUAACUUGAGUGCAGAAGGGGAGAGUGGAAUUCCAUGUGUAGCGGUGAAAUGCGUAGAUAUAUGGAGGAACACCGGUGGCGAAAGCGGCUCUCUGGUCUGUAACUGACGCUGAGGCUCGAAAGCGUGNGGAGCAAACAGGAUUAGAUACCCUGGUAGUCCACGCCGUAAACGAUGAGNGCUAGGUGUUGGGUCCUUUCCGGGAU
rnacentral:rRNA from 1 species